ensembl:lncRNA
GGCUUAAGGGAAGUUCAGGUAUACGGCGUGUGGUUGGUUCCCUUCGGCAUGCGCCAGGAGAAGGGAACCAAUGGCGGGCCCUCCGUCUGUCCUGCGGUGUAUUAAGAGACAACCUGACCUGGGUCGGCGUGGUGCCGCGAGGGUCGCCGUGGGAGACGUCAGGAGAUAGUGGCAUAAGUGUAUGUGAGGGAUUGUAUGUACUAGUGUGUGUGUGUGUGUGUGUUUGUGUGCGUGUGUGGUUGUGUGUCUGUGUGUGUGCUCAUGUCGACAGAUUUUGUGUGUGUGUUCCAGCCGUCUGUGGGUGACGAUAUGCAGAUUGCUGGUGCAGUGAAGAGUAGAGCUGGAAGCGCUCAAACCGGCCUGGCUGUUCCACCCCCCUCUGCCUCCCGCCGCCCCCAACGCCGCUGCCUCUGCUAUGGAUUCUCAACAGCCCGUUUGUCGGUUGAGAAUCGUCGCUGCCGUUGGGCUCCUCAUUACAACAUGGUGGAGCCAUUCUGUGUCAUUUACAUAGAAGUGCUUUCCCAGCCAGUGGAGGUUAUUUGCUGCCAUGCCGUGACAGAAGGAG